GGCCCCGUGGCUCAGUGGUGAGAGCGCCUGCCUGUCGAGCAGGAUGCCGCGGUUUCGAUUACCGCCAGGGUCGCCA
rnacentral:tRNA from 1 species